GACAGGCGGCCCGGGCGGGAGGAGCCGCCCGCUGUCGGCAACAUGGCAGCGGCCAGCCGGGCCCAGGUGCUGCGGCUCUACCGGGCCCUGCUGCGGGAGAGCCAGCGCUUCGGCGGAUACAACUACAGAACAUAUGCCAUCAGAAGGAUAAGAGAUGCCUUCAGAGAAAACAAGAAUAUAACGGAUUCUGAAAAAAUAGAAGAACUAGUGAAUAAAGCAAAAGCAAACCUAGAGAUUAUUCAUCGGCAGGCUACAUGACAUCCUUCGUUGUCAAAAGGCUGAUUCUUUGCUGUACUAUGACAUCCCUAUGUUUAGCAUACUAGUGAGAGACAGUCCUGAAUUCUUGUAGACCAAGUUAUGGGAAGUCAGGUUACUAUUGGCCAACUGUAUUCCACGCAGAAAUUGGUUAUCGAGAGUCCAGGAAACACAUAGCUAUGAGAAGACUGAUCCUGAAGCAACACUGGACCAUCUUCAGCAUCUUACAGUGCCACAUACAGAUGCAUAACGUCACUGCAUGUCUGAGCUUUUCUGUUCAGCAGAAGAAAUGUCUGAGAGACUCAGUUUUUGGCAACCAAAGUGCUAUUUUCUUAUGUUUCACACAUUCUAAAAUGUAUUGCUGUGAUUUACAAUAGCAUGUAAGGUAGUCUUGAAAUCUGUUUGCUUGUAUGUCCUAUGUGAUAAAAUAGUUCCUGUCCUAAUUUGGCAAUAAAAGUUCAUUAAACUACCUGUAACCGGA